GAUGAACGCUGGCGGCGUGCCUAAUACAUGCAAGUCGAGCGAAUGGAUUAAGAGCUUGCUCUUAUGAAGUUAGCGGCGGAUGGGUGAGUAACACGUGGGUAACCUGCCCAUAAGACUGGGAUAACUCCGGGAAACCGGGGCUAAUACCGGAUAACAUUUUGAACCGCAUGGUUCGAAAUUGAAAGGCGGCUUCGGCUGUCACUUAUGGAUGGACCCGCGUCGCAUUAGCUAGUUGGUGAGGUAACGGCGCACCAAGGCAACGAUGCGUAGCCGACCUGAGAGGGGGAUCGGCCACACUGGGACUGAGACACGGCCCAGACUCCUACGGGAGGCGGCAGUAGGGAAUCUUCCGCAAUGGACGAAAGUCUGACGGAGCACCGCCGCGUGAGUGAUGAAGGCUUUCGGGUCGUAAAACUCUGUUGUUAGGGAAGAACAAGUGCUAGUUGAAUAAGCUGGCACCUUGACGGUACCUAACCAGAAAGCCACGGCUAACUACGUGCCAGCCGCCGCAGUAA
rnacentral:rRNA from 1 species